GUAAGGAAUAUUGGUCAAUGGACGAAAGUCUGAACCAGCCAUGCCGCGUGAAGGAUUAAGGCCCUCUGGGUUGUAAACUUCUUUUAUCUGGGACGAAAAAAGGGUAUUCUUACUCACUUGACGGUACCAGAGGAAUAAGCACCGGCUAACUCCGUGCCAGCAGCCGCGGUAAUACGGAGGGUGCAAGCGUUAUCCGGAUUUACUGGGUUUAAAGGGUGCGUAGGUGGGCUUGUAAGUCAGUGGUGAAAUCUCCGGGCUUAACCCGGAAACUGCCAUUGAUACUAUAGGUCUUGAAUUAUAUGGAGGUAAGCGGAAUAUGUCAUGUAGCGGUGAAAUGCUUAGAUAUGACAUAGAACACCAAUUGCGAAGGCAGCUUACUACGUAUAUAUUGACACUGAGGCACGAAAGCGUGGGGAUCAAACAGGAUUAGAUACCCGGGUAGUCC
rnacentral:rRNA from 1 species